UACGGGGGGGGCAAGCGUUGUUCGGAAUUACUGGGCGUAAAGGGUUCGUAGGUGGCCCGCUAAGUCAGACGUGAAAUCCCUCAGCUCAACUGGGGAACUGCGUCUGAUACUGGAUGGCUUGAGUUUGGGAGAGGGAUGCGGAAUUCCAGGUGUAGCGGUGAAAUGCGUAGAUAUCUGGAGGAACACCGGUGGCGAAGGCGGCAUCCUGGACCAACACUGACGCUGAGUGAGCGAAAGCCAGGGGAGCAAACGGG
rnacentral:rRNA from 1 species